rnacentral:rRNA from 1 species
CCUACGGGAGGCUGCAGUGGGGAAUAUUGCACAAUGGGCGCAAGCCUGAUGCAGCCAUGCCGCGUGUGUGAAGAAGGCCUUCGGGUUGUAAAGCACUUUCAGCGGGGAGGAAGGCGUUAAGGUUAAUAACCUUGGCGCUUGACGUUACCCGCCGAAGAAGCACCGGCUAACUCCGUGCCAGCAGCCGCGGUAAUACGGAGGGUGCAAGCGUUAAUCGGAAUUACUGGGCGUAAAGCGCACGCAGGCGGUCUGUCAAGUCGGAUGUGAAAUCCCCGGGCUCAACCUGGGAACUGCAUUCGAAACUGGCAGGCUAGAGUCUUGUAGAGGGGGGUAGAAUUCCAGGUGUAGCGGUGAAAUGCGUAGAGAUCUGGAGGAAUACCGGUGGCGAAGGCGGCCCCCUGGACAAAGACUGACGCUCAGGUGCGAAAGCGUGGGGAGCAAACAGGAUUAGAUACCCGAGUAGUC